UAGGGAAUCUUCCACAAUGGACGAAAGUCUGAUGGAGCAACGCCGCGUGAGUGAAGAAGGUUUUCGGAUCGUAAAGCUCUGUUGUUGGUGAAGAAGGAUAGAGGCAGUAACUGGUCUUUAUUUGACGGUAAUCAACCAGAAAGUCACGGCUAACUACGUGCCAGCAG
rnacentral:rRNA from 1 species